UACGAAGGGGGCUAGCGUUGCUCGGAAUCACUGGGCGUAAAGCGCACGUAGGCGGAUCUUUAAGUCAGGGGUGAAAUCCUGGAGCUCAACUCCAGAACUGCCUUUGAUACUGGGGAUCUCGAGUCCGGAAGAGGCGAGUGGAACUCCGAGUGUAGAGGUGAAAUUCGUAGAUAUUCGGAAGAACACCAGUGGCGAAGGCGGCUCACUGGUCCGGUACUGACGCUGAGGUGCGAAAGCGUGGGGAGCGAACAGG
rnacentral:rRNA from 1 species